GGUAGGGACUUUUUUUUUUUUUUUUUUUUUGAGAUCGAUCUGAUGUAGCUAAGGCUACACUCAAACUUAGUGCAGAGCCAAAGCUGGCCUUGAACUCCUGCUCCUCCUGCUUCAGCCUCUGAUGUAUCCACCACACCUUGCCUGCCAUCUUGGUUCUCUUUGACUCAUUUGCCAAUCCAAGAGACCAUAGCAGGGACGGCCAGGAAGGUUGGCCACACGCUACUGAGUCAGAUUUAACGGCGAUAGGGCUUUUCUGAGCAGAUGGAUGUCUCAUGGAAACAGAGGAAGGAAAGAGCUGGAUGCAGAAGAGGAGCUGCCAUUUUCUCAACCAGCAUAGGAACCUGCACAUUCGUUUGUUAUUUGUGUGUGUGUGUGUGUGUAUGUGUGUGUGUGUGUGUGUGUGUGUGUGUGUGUGUGUGUGUGUGUGUGUGUAUGUUUCGGCUCCUGCCCCUCCAUCUCCUUUACCAGUCUCUCUGUUUGUGUGUAACUGGUUUGGAGUCUAUUGUAUCUGUCUGCCCUGGGCUUGGGCUUUUGAGAGAAGUACCUCCACUGGGGCCCCAGAACUAGCCUGAUUCUCAGGACCAGAUGUCCUGCAAUAAACACAUCACCUGCUCUUGGUCUCUGCUGCCUUUGUCUGGACAUCUCUUAGCAAGUCAGCCCUUUCCCACAUCUCUCUACUCUACCUCAGUGGGAGUCUCCUUUGGGUGAGAGGUGAAAGAGAUUCAGAGGUUUAUGAGAUUUCUCAUGCCUGUGACAGAAUGACCCAAUAAAAUGUUUAUUUCUGCUCAUGGUUUGAAAGGCAGUCCACUGUGGCAGAGCAGCCAUGGCAGGCAAGGGGAGCUUGUGACAGCCGUGGCAGGAACAUCUUCAUGGAUCAGGAAGAGAAAUGGGACAGGAAGUAGAGUCAGGCUGUCAGUGUCAAGGCUGGAUCCCUAGAGAUCUACUCCCUCCAGCAAGGUCCCAACUACAAAAGGUUCCACAACCUCCCAAGACAAGGCCACCAGCUGAGGACCGAGUAUUCAAACACAUGAGCCUGUGAGGAUCCUUUUACAUCCUCUGGACCUGAGUCCUACCCUCUAAGCAGGAACUGACUUUCCCUGGGCAGAAGAAUGAGUGAGGCUUGACCUCCCAACCUGCUCUCCUGCAUCCACCAUUGCUCUUCAAAAGCAAACCAGUAAUAGAUUUGCUGCAAGGAAUUGACGCGCACAGCCAUGGAAGCUGGCCAACACAGAAUUCUUAGACUUCACGUCAGCAGGUAACAGUUGAUAUGACACAGCGGUGAAGUCUAAACUUUGCAGGGUUGGCCAUCAAGCCAGGAACUUGGGUAAUUUCUUUCUUGCAACCUUGAGGCAGCGUUCCUUUUCUGGAAAACUUUAGUCAUUGCUCUUAAAGCCUUCAGCUAGCUCAGUGGGACCCCAUUCACCUGCUGCUCUUGAAGUCACACAUCUAAGAAAAUAAUCACAUCCGGGAGGGAAAAAAUCAUCAGAGCAAUGCCUAGACUAGUUUUUCAUUGAACAACAGCAUCACAGCUUCACAGAGUGAAACCGCAUAAUUAGCUAUAGUUAGUAGCUGUUGGGAGACAAUUGGCCAAGCCUCUCCUAACCUGUCUUCCUACCUAUUAAAAUGGGGGUGGUGACCACACUUACCUGCCUGCUGGGGUCUCGUGAUCAACAACAGAAUGUGCAUCAAGGCCAGUAUCUUUAAAAUGAUGGGUGGUUAUUAUACAGUUCCUCAAAGAUAAGAUGAUCUGCUAUUUAUUAUAACAACAAUUGCAUUUUGUUUGCAGUAACGGCAGACUUUGUUGCCCAGGCUGGUUUUGAACACCUGGAUUCAACUAACCUUCCCAUCUUGGCCUCCCAAGUAGCUGAGACAGAUACAGAAGGACACUGCUUAGCUAAGACACCUUUCAAGGGCUGAGAAUGUAGCUCAGUGGCUGGGUGGCAGAGCACUUGGCUACCAUGCACAGAGGUCUGGUUGUAGUUUGCAGUACCACAGAAAGUGGAAAGGGC
rnacentral:lncRNA from 1 species